UACGAGGGGGGCGAGCGUUGUUCGGAAUUAUUGGGCGUAAAGGGUGCGUAGGCGGUUUGGUAAGUCUGAUGUGAAAUCUAUGGGCUCAACUCAUAGUCUGCAUCGGAAACUGCCGGGCUUGAGUAUGGGAGAGGUGAGUGGAAUUCCUGGUGUAGCGGUGAAACGCGUAGAUAUCAGGAGGAACACCUGUGGCGAAAGCGGCUCACUGGACCAUAACUGACGCUGAUGCACGAAAGCUAGGGGAGCAAACAGG
rnacentral:rRNA from 1 species